AUUGAACGCUGGCGGCAUGAUUUACACAUGCAAGUCGAACGGUAACAGGCCGCAAGGUGCUGACGAGUGGCGAACGGGUGAGUAAUGCGUCGGAACGUGCCCAGUCGUGGGGGAUAACUACUCGAAAGAGUAGCUAAUACCGCAUACGAUCUAUGGAUGAAAGCGGGGGACCGUAAGGCCUCGCGCGAUUGGAGCGGCCGAUGUCAGAUUAGGUAGUUGGUGGGGUAAAGGCUCACCAAGCCAACGAUCUGUAGCUGGUCUGAGAGGACGACCAGCCACACUGGGACUGAGACACGGCCCAGACUCCUACGGGAGGCAGCAGUGGGGAAUUUUGGACAAUGGGCGCAAGCCUGAUCCAGCAAUGCCGCGUGCAGGAAGAAGGCCUUCGGGUUGUAAACUGCUUUUGUACGGAACGAAACGGCUCUGGUUAAUACCCGGGGCUAAUGACGGUACCGUAAGAAUAAGCACCGGCUAACUACGUG
rnacentral:rRNA from 1 species